rnacentral:rRNA from 1 species
UACGUAGGGUGCAAGCGUUUAAUCGGAAUUACUGGGCGUAAAGCGUACGCAGGCGGUUAUGUAAGACAGGUGUGAAAUCCCCGGGCUUAACCUGGGAACUGCAUUUGUGACUGCAUAGCUAGAGUACGGUAGAGGGGGAUGGAAUUCCGCGUGUAGCAGUGAAAUGCGUAGAUAUGCGGAGGAACACCGAUGGCGAAGGCAAUCCCCUGGACCUGUACUGACGCUCAUGCACGAAAGCGUGGGGAGCAAACAGG